UUACUCAGGUAAAGUGAAUUCUAACUGGCUACUAACCAUUUGGAUGCUGGAGGGAGGGAGUGAGAAAAGAGUGGGAAAAGGGAAAGUGGUACAGCAAAUAUAUUGCAAAGGCACUAGGAAAACGGUCUUCUUUGCUAGGCUCUCAAGAUGAGGCUUGGCCGAACAGGUUCUGUUACUAUUUUUACCUUCACAGUUAUCGUUAGUUCCAU
rnacentral:lncRNA from 1 species